UACGAAGGGGGCUAGCGUUGUUCGGAAUUACUGGGCGUAAAGCGCACGUAGGCGGACAUUUAAGUCAGGGGUGAAAUCCCAGAGCUCAACUCUGGAACUGCCUUUGAUACUGGGUGUCUUGAGUAUGGAAGAGGUGAGUGGAAUUCCGAGUGUAGAGGUGAAAUUCGUAGAUAUUCGGAGGAACACCAGUGGCGAAGGCGGCUCACUGGUCCAUUACUGACACUGAGGCGCGACAGCGUGGGGAGCAAACAGG
rnacentral:rRNA from 1 species